AUUGAACGCUGGCGGCAUGCCUUACACAUGCAAGUCGAACGGCAGCACGGGGGCAACCCUGGUGGCGAGUGGCGAACGGGUGAGUAAAGCAUCGGAACGUGCCCUGGAGUGGGGGAUAACGUAGCGAAAGUUACGCUAAUACCGCAUAUUCUGUGAGCAGGAAAGCAGGGGAUCGCAAGACCUUGCGCUCUGGGAGCGGCCGAUGUCGGAUUAGCUAGUUGGUGGGGUAAAGGCCUACCAAGGCGACGAUCCGUAGCGGGUCUGAGAGGAUGAUCCGCCACACUGGGACUGAGACACGGCCCAGACUCCUACGGGAGGCAGCAGUGGGGAAUUUUGGACAAUGGGCGAAAGCCUGAUCCAGCCAUGCCGCGUGAGUGAAGAAGGCCUCGG
rnacentral:rRNA from 1 species